rnacentral:rRNA from 1 species
AUGGGAACGCGAAGAACCUUACCUAGACUUGACAUCUCCUGAAUAGUGUAGAGAUACAUGAAGCCCUUCGGGGCGAGGAAGACAGGUGGUGCAUGGUUGUCGUCAGCUCGUGUCGUGAGAUGUUGGGUUAAGUCCCGCAACGAGCGCAACCCUUAUUACUAGUUGCUACCAUUAAGUUGAGCACUCUAGUGAGACUGCCCGGGGUUAACCGGGAGGAAGGCGGGGAGUGACGUCAAAUCAUCAUGCCCCUUAUGUCUAGGGCAACACACGUGCUACAAUGGUGAGUACAGAUAGAUGCGAUACCGCAAGGUGGAGCCAAACUCUAAAACUCAUCCCAGUUCGGAUUGUAGGCUGCAACUCGCCUACAUGAAGUUGGAGUUGCUAGUAAUCGCGAAUCAGAAUGUCGCGGUGAAUACGUUCCCGGGUCUUGUACACA